rnacentral:lncRNA from 1 species
ACAAACUGUGUGUGUUUUUAUUCUGAAGGUCUCUCAACCAUGACAGGUGACAAAUUGCUUUUGUAAGGGCUUUGAAUUCCACUUCAGUAGCCCACAAACGACACCACCCAUUCACUCUUCACUCAUCCCCCCAUCCAUAUUUUAUUGUUUUAUGUGAUGAGUUUUGCCGAACAGAGGGAUCUCCAGAUGCAAAGGGCAAAGCAUCUACGUCUCCGAGCUGUUUUUCUACAAAUGAGGAAACGACCCAUUUAAGAAAUUCCCUCUAAUUUCUUAGAAGUGUUGAGAGGGGAGAGUCGGUGAAUUUGGAUUUAUAGCUUUUUUGUAUUGCGGAAUAUAGACGUGGGAGGCUACCCGGAUGACAAGCUUCCAGUCCAGGUAGCAUCAGAGCCUAAAGGGGCAUGCCACAAGCUGGCGUGAUUUGCAGUCGAUAGAUUGUGCUGGAUAUUCAUUCUCUCUCUCUCUUUAAAAAUUACCCUUAAAAGCUGGGUUUUUGACAAGUGGGUCGAGGAGGAGUGAGGAGAGAGGUUUUGGAUAUAUAGAGGUUUAGGGUUUGAAAGGAGGGUGAGAUGGAGGGAGGACAGGAGUGUUGUUCGAGCAGAGAGACGAGGAAGAGGGUGACGGGGCAAGGUGAGAAGCGGUACAAGGGGAUAAGGAUGAGGAAGUGGG